rnacentral:rRNA from 1 species
UGCCAGCAGCCGCGGUAAUACGGGGGAUGCAAGCGUUAUCCGGAAUCAUUGGGCGUAAAGCGCCUGUAGGCGGGUUAUUAAGUUGAAUAUGAAAGACCGAGGCUCAACCUCGUGUUUGUAUUCAAAACUAGUAAUCUAGAAUUAGGGAGAGGUUAGCGGAAUUCUUAGUGUAGGGGUGCAAUCCGUAGAUACUAAGAAGAACACCAAAAGCGAAGGCAGCUAACUGGAACUAUAUUGACGCUGAGGAACGAAAGCGUGGGGAGCGAAGAGGAUUAGAUA